GCUUGUGGCCGGGAUCUUGCACUUGGGAAACAUCAGCUUCUGUGAAGACGGGAAUUAUGCCCGGGUGGAGAGUGUGGACCUGCUGGCCUUUCCCUUCCUUCCCGCCUACCUGCUGGGCAUCGACAGCGGGCGGCUGCAGGAGAAGCUGACCAGCCGCAAGAUGGACAGCCGCUGGGGCGGGCGCAGCGAGUCCAUCGAUGUGACCCUCAACGUGGAAACAGGCAGCCUACACGCGCGACGCCCUGGCCAAGGGGCUCUACGCCCGGCUCUUCGACUUUCUCGUGGAGUCCAUCAACCGUGCUAUGCAGAAGCCCCAAGAGGAAUACAGUAUUGGUGUGCUUGACAUCUAUGGCUUCGAGAUCUUCCAGGUUCGGCCUCUGCUCCCCACCCCCCUACCCCCCCCCCCCCGCGCCUUGGCUGGCCCAGUGGUCCCAGGAGCCUCCAGCA
rnacentral:lncRNA from 1 species